rnacentral:rRNA from 1 species
CAGCCGUAAACUAUGCGCGUUAGGUGUAUCGGUGACCACGAGUCACCGAGGUGCCGAAGGGAAACCGUGAAACGUGCCGCCUGGGAAGUACGGUCGCAAGGCUGAAACUUAAAGGAAUUGGCGGGGGGAGCACCACAACGGGUGGAGCCUGCGGUUUAAUUAGACUCAACGCCGGGAAGCUCACCGGAUAAGACAGCGGAAUGAUUGCCGGGCUGAAGACUCUGCAUGACUAGCUGAGAGGAGGUGCAUGGCGUAGACGUCU